rnacentral:lncRNA from 1 species
UCCUUCUGCGUCAACUCCAUUUCAGCAUCUGUUUUCUCCUGUGGAGUCUGAGGCUUCAUGUUUCAUGAAAAGAAGGACCUUCUCCAGAUCACUCCCAGGAUGAGCUUUGGUCACCUCUGAGGAGGUCACUGAUCAAUUUUUAAUGAGGCUCAGGUGGUGCAUUGCUUGAAUAGGCAUUGGUGGGACCAUUGGCUGACUCAGCUUCAUGAAGGACCUCACGCUCUAAGACUGGGAAGUCAACUCCAACAAAAAUUGGGACGAUGUGGAGUUCCCAUCGUCGCGCAGUGGUUAAACGAAUCCGACUAGGAACCAUGAGGUUUCAGGUUCCAUCCCUGGCCUUGCUCAGUGGAUUAAAGAUCCGGCGUUGCCGGGAGCUGUGGUGUAGGUCACAGAUGCGGCUUGGAUCCCUCGGGUUCUUAACACGCUGAGUCAUAAUAGGAACUCCAAUUUAGUAAAUUUUAUCAAUUCGCCUGAGCUGGUCCCUAGAGAAUGGGGCUUCAAGGCGAGAGGGCCCCUUCUGUUUUGCCCCAUCUAUUUCUCUCCUGCCUCCUGAAGUGGACUGAGAAGUUCCUAGAGGCAGAAUUCCAUUUACUCGGCUCCGGGCUGAUCCCCAGCACCUGGCAUCAUGCCUGGCACUUAGACAUUCAAUAACUAUGUGCUGAGGAAUGAGAUGAAGGCUAACUCCCUGAAAAAUGCAUCAGCUCUUCCCUUGAAAGCCCUAAUGUCUCUUGCUGGAAUUCUCUCUCUUUUAAAUUUAACUCUACAGUAACACUGGCUCAGAGUGAAAAAUCUGGAGUUGGCUGGGAAAAGAACCAGUAAAAAGGUAGCCUAAGUGAUGCAAUACUGGCGCUCCUGCUUUUCAACACAUUCCCAUCUCCCAAGCACAUACUACUCGCCAGACACGGUGCUCGCGCACUGGAGCUACAAACCCUUACCUUGGCCAUGCCGAUGGGAAUAAAUAGAGCAUCCCUAGGAUUAGUCUUAUCCCACUAAUAACAACGAUUAGGGUCCAGGUCUGUGUUACAGGCACUAUCUGAGGUGCUUUGCUAGGUUUAUAGGUAGUGCUAUGUUAUGCCAAUUUCACAGAUCAGCAGGCGGAGACUCAGAAAAGUCAAGAUGUUUGUUCACGUUCACAGCUAUUGGUGAAGACCAAGCUUAGGUUCCCGCUGCCUUCCUGAGAGGCCAUCCUGAGAUGGCCAGCCUCCAAAUCACCAGGAUUGCUGGAUUAAAAUGAAGAUUCCCAGGCCUAGGGCUGAAGGAUCAGAAUCCAUAGGAGCAGGAGCUCACGCAGUGGCUUGGCCGUUUCGAACCCUACUAGUAUCCAUGAGGAUGUGGGUUCAAUCCCUGGCCUCACUCAGUGGGUUAAGGAUCCGGAAUUGCCGUGAGCUAUGGUGUAGGGGGCAGACACAGCUCAGAUCCUGCAUUGCUGUGGCUGUGGCAUGGACUCCAGCUGCAGAGCUGAUUCAACCCCUAGCCUGGGAACCUCCAUAUGCUGCAGGUGUGGCCCUAAAAAGAAAAAAAAAAAAAGAAUCCCUAGGAGGGGAGCCUGGGAAUCCUCAUUUUUUUAAAUUCCAGUUUGGGGUAAAUUAUUUAUUUAUUUGUUUAAAGUAUAGCUGAUUUACAAUGUUCCUUCAGUUGUUGCUGUACAGCAGAGUGACCCAGCCAUACAUAUAUAUUUUUUCUUUUUUUAAUACAAUCUUCCAUCAUGUUUUAACCUGAGACUGUACACAGUUCCCUGUGCUGGGCAAUAGGAUCUCAUUGCUCAGCUACUUUAAAUGUAAGAGUUUGCAUCUCCUAACCCCAAACUCCCUGUCCAUGCCCUUCUCUCCCCGUCCCCCUGGCAAACACAAGUCUGUUCUUCAUGCCCACGAUCUGUUUCUGUUUUAUAGAUGGGAUCAUUUGUGCCAUAAUUUAGAUUCCACAUAUAAGUGAUAGCAUAUGGCAUUUGUCUUUCUCUUUCUGACUUACUUCACGUAGUAUGAGAAUCUCUAAUUGCAUCUAUGUUGCUGCAAAUGGCAUUAUUUUGUCCUUUUUUAUGGCUGAGUAGUAUUUCAUUGUAUAGGAAUCCCCAUUUUUGAACCCCUACCCUGGGUGAUUCAGAUUUGCCCUGAAGUUUGUAAUUUGCAUGGCAGCAUUCCAAUGGGCCACACUUACUCUUGGUGAGUUUACAAAACCCUCCUCCACUCCACCCUUGCUUCCUGCCAAGUGAUGAACAGAAUGGAAUGGAAAGGAAGGGAGGGGAAAAGGAGGCAGGAGGGGGGAAGGAAGGAACUUGCUCCAAAGUGGGCUCCAUUUCAGCUCAGGGUGGGCUGAGAGGGAGCCCCCUGCUCUUUUGCUCUUGGACCCGCAGCAGCAGGCUCUGUGCAGUGGCUGAAGCAGCAGCCACGGUGCCCGAACAGGAAGCGCCCUCUGUGGCUGGUGAUGUCAGCUCCGUGAAAGCAGCUGAAGCAGCGGGCUCCUGGGAUCAGCCGUGCUGUGAAAUUUAGCUGUACCCACAGCUCAGACCCUGAAUGUGCAUCCCUCCUCAAAUCAGAACAGUCCCGCACUGGGUCCCCUCCUGGUGGGCAGGGUCCGUAUCAGUCAUAGUUUUUAUUGUCUGUGAUUUAUUGAACACUUUCUCUGUUUCGAGGCGAUCAGUGAUUCUUUAUCACAAACAUCCAUGAGGUCAUUUUGAUCCCCACUUGACAAAAGAAGGAAAAGAGUCUUAGGUAGGAAACCUGCCCAGGAGUUCCUGUCGCAGCACAGAGGAAACGAACCCUACUGGUAGCCACAAAGAUGCGGGUUCCAUCCCUGGCCCCGCUCAGUGGGUUAAGCAUCCGGUGUUGCCAUGAGCUGUGGUGUAGGUCGCAGAUGCGGCUCAGAUCCUGCAAUGCUAUGGCUGUGGCAUAGGAUGGCGGCCACAGAACCUCCAUAUGUCACAGGAGCCACCCUGAAAAGCAAAAAAACAAAAACAAAAACAAACAAGAAAGAAAGAAAGAAAAAGCAAAGCAAAAAAAAAAAAAAAAAAAAAAAAAAAAAAAAAAAAAGACAGACAGACAAGAAAGAAAAAGAAAGAAACCCACCCAGUAUUUCCCAGCAAGUAACCAGUGAAGCCAGGAUUUGAUCCCGGGUCUGUUGCCAGAACCUGUCCUCUUAAGAAUUACUGAGAGCUUCUCCAUUUCUAAUUCCCAUGACUAAGGGCCUCCCACAUGAGUUGUUCGUGAUUUCAAAGACAAGAGGUACCCCUCUCUUCCCAGCCCCACAUCCUGAGCCUGGGCAGUAAACAUGCCCCUUAGUUCAUCUGUGCCGGCCAGGGAUCCAGCAAAUAUAAAACAAGCUGCCCUGUCAACUGAGAGCGCUGUGUGUCCAGUCCAGGUCUCUGCUGGGCCUGGCGGCAUGUGAGAAACACAGCGCCCUCUGCUGUCCUCUGCUUUCCCAAAGGGGAGACCAAGUGUAUGAUGGGGUCGGAGCAGUUUGACAACAGCACAAAGCCUCACAGAAAAGCCAGAGCCCUUGGUCGCCGCCCCCCCCCGCCCCCCGCAAUCUCACCUCCCACAGUCCACCCUUACUCAUUCCUACAUCUAACUGUUCCUCAAAAGGCCAAGUUCAUUCCCACCUCAGGGCCUUUGCUCGUGCCAUCACCUCUGCCAAAAAGACUGGCAGCAGUUUUCCCCAGAUCACCAAAGCCUUCCUCCUCCUGGUCACCCAGCUCUCUGAUCAUGGCCCCCUCCUGCGGGAGGCCCUUCCUGAUACCACGUAUAAAUUAACCACCCCCAUCCAUCCCUCUCCUUUACUCCAUCCUGCUUUAUUUCUUUGGGGGUGCUUCACACAUUUGAAAUAUCCUAUUCAUUAUUUGCUUAUGUGUUUAAAAAAGUACCUGGCAAACAGCUGACUCUUAUGAACACGGGUGAAUGAAUGGACGCAUGAAUAAAUGAAAGCAUGAAACAUCUUCCUAAGUGCUUCUGUAACAAGGAUCCAGGCACCUAGAGCCAAAGCACCCCCUGGCUUCAGUUAACAAGGGCAGAGACCACAAGAAAUCACCCCCUGGUUGGUAACAACUUAACAACCAGCCAGCAGUUAUAUCCACACACAUUGCUGGGCAUCGUUCCAAAGCUAAAAAGGCACUAAUUGCUUUUAUAUAAGGAGGUAGAAACUCCAUCUCCUUAGGUCCUGAUGCUCUGUAUUAUGGUAUCUGUUAAUUGUUAAUUGUUCCUGCCUCACACAGCCACGGCGGGCUUUCUUCUGCUUGUGUCUGGGAUGGUGACAGGUUCCUAUACAGAGAAGAGAGGUACCGGGGAAGCAU